UCUUAUCAGUAGAACAGCUGAAACCUGAAACAGGACCUUCAGUGUCUGAGCCAGAAGAGCUGUUCUAUACCUGGGCUUCUGCCACAAGUAUCCCUUAUGCAGCUGGAGGGCUCCAGCUCAGGAGAGCACACGGGAUAACCACUCUUCCCAAGGACAGCGCUCAAGGUUUGAUGCUGCUGAAGUGGCUCCCCAAGUAAAAUGCCCUCUGAACACAAGCAGAAGGUAGACUGAUGCACAAGUAAAUAAGUGCCCAGGUUGUUAACCAUGAAACUUGGGGAAAAGUGGCACAGUGAGACCACUUGUGUCUGGAAUAACCUUUACAUACACCAUGAACAACCUGAAGAAAAGAAUAUGAUCUCCUCCAAGAAUUCAGAAACAGAACAACAGGAUGUUCUGAUGAAAAUACAAGCCCCUAGCAGUGGCUCUGACCCAAGCAUUUUGUGGUCAGCCAAAGAAAACGGUGGUGGAAACUGUGUACAAAGAAGGGAGGUGUGUAGGUACCAUACAGCUGACAGCAGACCUGUAUCAGCACCUUUUAAAAAAUCAGUGUCUGAAAAUUAAUACUAUGAAAUCAAAAUUAUCUUGGCAGAAAAUUUUCCAAGGAACUGUUGUUUUCAUGUAAAGUCAAAGAAGACAUCUGCAUUAUGGUUAUUAAAGCAACUUAAAGCCUUACUAACUUUUGUGAAUUGUAAUUUAUUCUACAAUUAUUCUACAACUUUCAUUCUCAUGUUCAUCAAAAUAAUGCUGUUCCUCCAGCUACUGAACCUUGAUUUGGGCCCUGUGAUUGACGCAUUCAUUACCCUCGACUCAGCUACUGUACUCCUUUAAUAAUAAAACUAGUUUUCUGACUGAAUUAUGUGGACA
rnacentral:lncRNA from 1 species